rnacentral:pre_miRNA from 1 species
UUUACACUAUUCAUAUCCAACACUUAACCAUUCAUUUUAUUUGAGAAAGUUUUAUGAUUAGUAUUUUUAUUGUUACUAGAUAAUAAAACAUGAAAAGUGUUUUAUGUGUGACUAUUUUUAAAAAAAAUUUAUAAAUUUUUUAAAUAAGACAGAUGAUCAAACGUUGAAGAUCAAAUGUUAGACACUAAUA